GCCUACGGGUGGCAGCAGUGGGGGAUAUUGCACAAUGGAGGAAACUCUGAUGCAGCAACGCCGCGUGAGGGAAGACGGUCUUCGGAUUGUAAACCUAUGUCCUCGGUGACGAUAAUGACGGUAGCCGAGGAGGAAGCUCCGGCUAACUACGUGCCAGCAGCCGCGGUAAUACGUAGGGAGCGAGCGUUGUCCGGAUUUACUGGGUGUAAAGGGUGCGUAGGCGGCUUUUUAAGUCAGGUGUGAAAACCGUGGGCUUAACUCACGGAUUGCAUUUGAAACUGAGGGGCUUGAGUGGAGCAGAGGCAGGCGGAAUUCCCGGUGUAGCGGUGAAAUGCGUAGAGAUCGGGAGGAACACCAGUGGCGAAGGCGGCCUGCUGGGCUUUAACUGACGCUGAGGCACGAAAGCAUGGGUAGCAAACAGGAUUAGAUACCCUUGUAGUCAC
rnacentral:rRNA from 1 species